UACGAAGGGGGCUAGCGUUGUUCGGAAUCACUGGGCGUAAAGCGCACGUAGGCGGAUCUUUAAGUCAGGGGUGAAAUCCCGAGGCUCAACCUCGGAACUGCCUUUGAUACUGGGGAUCUCGAGUCCGGGAGAGGUGAGUGGAACUCCGAGUGUAGAGGUGAAAUUCGUAGAUAUUCGGAAGAACACCAGUGGCGAAGGCGGCUCACUGGCCCGGUACUGACGCUGAGGUGCGAAAGCGUGGGGAGCAAACAGG
rnacentral:rRNA from 1 species